AGAAGUAAAAAAUAAACUAGAAUGCUUAAAUACUCUAUGAUUCCAUUUAUACAGCAUUCUUCCCAUGACAACAAUCUAGAAAUGGAACAGAUAUAAGAAGUUGCCAGGUAGUAAGAACCAGGGUGCUUGGGUAGUGUGAUGAUGGAACUGUUCUGUAUCUUAAUAGUCUCAAUGUUAACAUCCUCAUGAUGGUAUCAUAGAAGAGUUUUCUGUGACGUUACCACUGAAGAGACUGGGUAAAGGAGUGAGUUAUGAACUAUGGAGAGUGAGAGAUGAAGGAAUGGUGAGUUCUCGGCAGUUGUCACAGAGGUAGCUUCAUUAACCCCUCACAACAACUUCAAGAUAUUUGUGUUGGCUCAUUUUACAGAGAAUACAAACUGAAGACAACUGACUUGUCAUGUUUUAUACAAAAAGGCCCUGUCUUUUAUUUAAUGAAUCUGCCUUUCUGGGACCAGCAUAUGCACCAAACCUUGUCAACCAGUCCCAUGUAUGAAGUUCUGAGUGCGACUACCUCCAGCCUUCUCCAUGGUCAUCCGCCUUACAUAUCAGAGACAAUCCCAGUUUUCUGGUGGAGGUACCACUAGUAGUUAUUAAAAUAAAUAGUCUUCCUACCAUGUCACUAAUGGUACAGCACACU